AAACUCCUACGGGAGGCAGCAGUGAGAAAUAUUGGUCAAUGGGCGAGAGCCUGAACCAGCCAAGUAGCGUGCAGGAUGACGGCCCUAUGGGUUGUAAACUGCUUUUAUAAGGGAAUAAAGUGAGUCUCGUGAGACUUUUUGCAUGUACCUUAUGAAUAAGGACCGGCUAAUUCCGUGCCAGCAGCCGCGGUAAUACGGAAGGUCCGGGCGUUAUCCGGAUUUAUUGGGUUUAAAGGGAGCGUAGGCCGGAGAUUAAGCGUGUUGUGAAAUGUAGAUGCUCAACAUCUGCACUGCAGCGCGAACUGGUUUCCUUGAGUACGCACAAAGUGGGCGGAAUUCGUGGUGUAGCGGUGAAAUGCUUAGAUAUCACGAAGAACUCCGAUUGCGAAGGCAGCUCACUGGAGCGCAACUGACGCUGAAGCUCGAAAGUGCGGGUAUCGAACAGGAUUAGAUACCCUGGUAGUCCGCACGGUAAACGAUGGAUGCCCGCUGUUGGUCUGAAUAGGUCAGCGGCCAAGCGAAAGCAUUAAGCAUCCCACCUGGGGAGUACGCCGGCAACGGUGCAACUCAAAUGAAUUGACGGA
rnacentral:rRNA from 1 species